AGGAGCCGCCAACGGCCUGUAGAGCAACAUGCCUAAGUUUUAUUGUGACUACUGCGAUACGUACCUCACCCAUGACUCUCCGUCUGUGAGAAAGACACACUGCAGUGGUAGGAAACAUAAAGAGAAUGUGAAAGACUACUACCAGAAAUGGAUGGAAGAGCAAGCUCAGAGCCUGAUUGACAAAACAACGGCUGCAUUUCAACAAGAAAAGAUACCUCCUACUCCAUUCUCCGCUCCUCCCCCCGCCGGGGCUAUGAUCCCACCUCCACCCAGCCUUCCUGGUCCUCCUCGCCCUGGUAUGAUGCCAGCACCUCACAUGGGAGGCCCUCCCAUGAUGCCAAUGAUGGGCCCCCCACCUCCGGGGAUGAUGCCAGUGGGACCUGCUCCUGGAAUGAGACCACCCAUGGGAGGCCACAUAGUUGAUGUGUUGAAACCUGGACAGCAGUAUGGCAGUGUGGGAAGUGGAACCUACUAG